UACGGGGGGAGCAAGCGUUGUUCGGAUUUACUGGGCGUAAAGGGCGCGUAGGCGGCCUUCUAAGUCGAGCGUGAAAUCCCCGGGCUCAACCCGGGAACUGCGUCCGAUACUGGAAGGCUUGAAUCCGGGAGAGGGAUGCGGAAUUCCAGGUGUAGCGGUGAAAUGCGUAGAUAUCUGGAGGAACACCGGUGGCGAAGGCGGCAUCCUGGACCGGCAUUGACGCUGAGGCGCGAAAGCCAGGGGAGCAAACGGG
rnacentral:rRNA from 1 species